rnacentral:lncRNA from 1 species
UUCAGAAAAGCUGCUGUGCAGAGCAUGUGAAGACUGCUUCGGCUGAACAGACGGAAGAAACCAAU